rnacentral:lncRNA from 1 species
ACAACCGCUUUAACCUUUCAUACAAAACUUUUGUGUAUUCACAGAAGCAUCCACUGGGCGGGAAACCAUUUUUCUUGUUUCUGCAUGUAUUCUUAGAAGAGAUUUAAGCUUUCCCUUGAAUUUUCGAAUGUUGAUAAAAACAAAAUAAUAGACUUUGGAAAGGUGAUUCAAUGAAUAAACAUGAAACGUUCACCGUACAUUAAUUAAGCAUCCUUUUCGACCACCCUGACUUGUUCUCUCAUCACAUCUUGAUAACCAUUUACACGAGAGAUUUAAAUGAAGAAGAAUGAAAGAUUCACUUUGACGAGUCUUGGAACCCCUAACUUGGAAAGGCACAGAUCAUGAUUGCUACAAAAGCAUUUGCACUCGGUUUCAGCUAUAGGAAGUGUGAUUGGUCGUACAUGAUGGAUUGACAUUCUCGUCUAUUUGGAUCACAUACAGAAGACAAGCCAAGUCAGAGCAGACAAUACGUAUGCGAUUGAGACAUUAUUUUUGUGAAAUUUAUGAUUCUUCCACAUGUUUGAAUGAUGUAGAAGAUGCACAGGAAACUUUUAAUGAUGAUACGAUAUCGGUUCAAUCACAAUUCAUAAGCGAAACGAAUGCCAAAUACUAAUACUAUAUAUCCAUGAAUCAUUUACCAAUAGUAUUUUUACUGUUCGUGAAUGCUGAGAAAGUUUAUGUCUAAUGUAUUAGCUGUGUCAACCAUUUAUAGUGUGAAGCCACUUUCCACUUGCAACGCUAAGGAUACCGAGACGCAGGAUACCUAGACGCAUAAAUACAUUAUGCUAGUGGCACGGCCAAAAUUAUUUACUCCAAAGUCUUUAUCCUCUUCGUUUAUAUCGCUAACAAGAAAUCGUAGUCACAAAUGUACAUACGUUGAAACAUUUAAACAACGUACAACAAGCCAAUAAUGACAAGAAUGGAGAUGAAAGUGGUGAUGGUUAGUGGUAGUCGUGGUAGUAAUGGAAGUGGUAAGUGGAAGUGGUGGUGGUGGUGGUAGUGCUUGUGGUAAGUGGAAGUGGUAGUGGUAGUGGUGCUGUGCUGAUGCUGGCGCCGAUACUGGUGAUGAUGUUGAUGCCUAUACUGACACUAGUACUGACACUAGAUGACACUAGUACUGGUACUAAUGGUACCAUUCAACUUGGCAAGUAUAAGACUUAUGUGUGUAAGUGGUAAAAAAUCAAUGAGUAAACUCCACUAAGAAAAUUUCACAACUCCGUUGAUUCUUUUGAGUAUACAAACAUGAACGUUCAAGUUUUACCUUUGUUAAUUCAAUUCUAAUUAUACUGGUUUGUACUUGCUAAGCAUGUCCUGUUCACUUAUCUAAUUCGUUUCAAUUGCGGCAACUCUGGUCCGAUUUAUAAUUCGAAGAACUGAGUUUUUACCCUUUGGAUAAAGUUUUUCAACAUACUUACAAUGAUUAUGGUCUCCACUCCUGACGUAGUUCCAUGUGGUAAUAGAACACAAACUUCAAAAUCUCAUCACUAUAUUAUACUUGGUACAACAUGCAAUACCGAUUGUAUAUACCGAAUACAGUUUCCUAUUGCAAUGAAUGUGAUUUAAUCAUUUUAUGGGAGUUUUUUCAUUCAAAACUGCUUUAAAUCUAAAAACUCUUCUUUAUUCUUGACACUCGUAUAUGUUGUCUGAUAUUCCUAUUCGUGUUUCAAUAACGAAGUUUACUUUCAUUCAAAUAAAUAGAACCAAUCAAGUUUACUAGUGCUUAUUUUUUUCUUUUUUAAUAAAAAGAAUGAAUAUUAGGUGUAUGAUAUGAAUACGUUUUUGUUUGUUUGUUUGCAAAUUAAAAUUAAAAACAACAAAAAAUUAAAGCUACUGAUUUAACUUUGCUUAUUCCAUAACACUUCUUACUCAAUCUCACAUA